AGAGUUUGAUCCUGGCUCAGGAUGAACGCUGGCGGUAUGCUUAACACAUGCAAGUCGAACGGAAGUCUUCGGACUUUAGUGGCGGACGGGUGAGUAACGCGUGAGGAUCUGCCUACAGGACUGGGACAACGUUUGGAAACGGACGCUAAAACCGGAUGUGCCGAGAGGUGAAAUAUUGUAUAGCCUGUAGAUGAGCUCGCGUCUGAUUAGCUAGUUGGUGAGGUAAGGGCUCACCAAGGCGACGAUCAGUAGCUGGUCUGAGAGGACGAUCAGCCACACUGGGACUGAGACACGGCCCAGACUCCUACGGGAGGCAGCAGUGGGGAAUUUUCCGCAAUGGGCGCAAGCCUGACGGAGCAAUACCGCGUGAGGGAGGAAGGUCUGUGGAUUGUAAACCUCUUUUGAUAGGGAAGAAGCAAGUGACGGUACCUAUCGAAUCAGCAUCGGCUAACUCCGUGCCAGCAGCCGCGGUAAUACGGAGGAUGCAAGCGUUAUCCGGAAUUAUUGGGCGUAAAGCGUCCGUAGGUGGUUAAUCAAGUCUAUUGUCAAAGCCUGGGGCUCAACCCUGGAGAGGCGGUGGAAACUGGUUAACUAGAGUGCGGUAGGGGCAGAGGGAAUUCCCAGUGUAGCGGUGAAAUGCGUAGAUAUUGGGAAGAACACCGGUGGCGAAAGCGCUCUGCUGGGCCUGCACUGACACUGAGGGACGAAAGCUAGGGGAGCGAAAGGGAUUAGAUACCCCUGUAGUCCUAGCUGUAAACGAUGGAGACUAGGUGUUGCACGUAUCGACCCGUGCAGUGCCGUAGCUAACGC
rnacentral:rRNA from 1 species